AGUUUUUAAAGUUUAACUGAGUAAAGAAUUAUGAAGUCUGCUCUGAUCUUGCUUUGCUGUGUUUUGAUGAUUGUUAUUGAUCCAACUACUUCCUUGAGCUAUAAAUCCAAGCUUGACAAAUCUCCGCUUAGUUUUUACAACUCCCACUCAACCGCGAAUGAUAAUUUGGACGAAAUGAGAAGUCUCCAGCAGGACCUUGAAAAGCUCCGAAGUUAAUUUGAGGGUCAACCAAAUAAACGCAUUUCAACUUACUAACUGUUAUGUUUAAGUGAUGCGUUUGAAUAAAACAUAAUAUACUCCAA